rnacentral:rRNA from 1 species
GACGAACGCUGGCGGCGUGCUUAACACAUGCGAGUCGAACGAAGAGCGAUGGAAGCUUGCUUCUAUCAAUCUUAGUGGCGCACGGGUGAGUAACGCGUAAUCAACCUGCCCUUCAGAGGGGGACAACAGUUGGAAACGAAUGCUAAUACCGCAUACGAUCUAAUCUCGGCAUCGAGGAUAGAUGAAAGGUGGCCUCUACAUGUAAGCUAUCACUGAAGGAGGGGAUUGCGUCUGAUUAGCUAGUUGGAGGGGUAACGGCCCACCAAGGCGAUGAUCAGUAGCCGGUCUGAGAGGAUGAACGGCCACAUUGGGACUGAGACACGGCCCAGACGCCUACGGGAGGCAGCAGUGGGGAAUCUUCCGCAAUGGACGAAAGUCUGACGGAGCAACGCCGCGUGAGUGAUGACGGCCUUCGGGUUGUAAAGCUCUGUUAAUCGGGACGAAAGGCCUUCUUGCGAAUAGUGAGAAGGAUUGACGGUACAGGAAUAGAAAGCCACGGCUAACUACG